rnacentral:lncRNA from 1 species
UAGCAAUAACAAUAAUAUCAAACACAUUAAUUAAGCAAAACAAGUCCACAAACAUAAUCAAAGAUCAAAGUUAAGAGAGUAAAGGAAACAACACACCAAUAUUUGUUUAUCCAGUUCGGACCAAUAUGACAUAUGUAUUGAGGGGAGAAGUUCUCAAAUCCACUAUGAAAUUAGUGAUGCAAAGAGAUUACAAGAAAUUAAUUUCACAAGCUUUCAAAGAACGGUCCAUAAUUUCUACUCAUUUUUCAAGUCAUUCAAAGUCACAAUAGAUCCUAAGAGAAAUCAAGAUAGAAAACUUUUGGUUCUUCCUCUAAUGAGAUCUCAACUAUUCAAGGUGUUUAUGUAAAGUGUUUCCCAACCUAAAGAUCUCACC